AGAGGGCAUGUGUUGUUCAUCGGUGCAUACCGGUGGGGGCAGUUUGUCGCUCGAAGAUGGUUGCCACCGCGCUCCAUUUCGGAGCCAUUCCGACUCUAAUUCCCGUAAAUAACCUAGCUAGGGUUUCCAAAGAGGGGCGAAGAGGACCCUCCACCACUUCUCCGUCUUCGGCUGGUCCCCUAUUUCGAUCGGGUUCGAGGAUUUCGCGAGCCCCGGCGACGGCCCCAAUCAUACGGGCUGCUGCCGAGGUGCAGACCACCGAGGAUGCUCUUGUGAAAGUCUCGACGGCGGCCGAUGUGGUGAGGGAGUUCUACGACGGAAUUAAUCGCCGGGAUCUUUCAGCCGUCGAGCCGCUGAUCUCAGAGGAUUGUGUCUACGAGGAUCUGGUCUUUCCCCGACCUUUUGUUGGACGCAAGGCAAUUCUCGACUUCUUCAAAAAGUUCACAGAAUCGGUCAGUGCUGACCUUCAGUUUGUUAUCGAUGACAUAUCUAACGAAGAUUCAUCGGCUGUUGGAGUUACAUGGCACUUGGAAUGGCGGGGCAGGCCUUUCCCAUUUAGCAAAGGGUGCAGCUUCUACAGUUUGCAGUUUCGGGAGGGCAAGAGACAGAUAGUCUAUGGGAGAGAUUGUGUGGAGCCUGCUGCCAAGCCUGGGGAUUCAGCAUUGGUUUUCAUGGUCCAGAUGAAACAAAAGAAAGGAGGUCUGUUGCCAGUUGUGCUGGCCAGCCACCAAAAUAUGUUCUAACACUUUACUCCAUAGUAACACUACUAUGGUGGAGCAUGAGGCAGGGAUAAAGGUAAUUAUCCAGGGAGUAUCAUGGAUACUUCAGCAAUUUCCACAACUUGCUGAUAGGCUCUGAUAGAAGUCUCCUCUUUCACCCUGGAUAUGUAAAAUACAAAUGUAUGUAGAAUGUGUAUCUGAAUAUAGUCCCUUGUGCUCCAUGUAUUUAAAACUCUUAGCAUAUGUUAUGCACAGGCAUGUUUCUUAGAUUCACUUGAUUAUAACAAGGAAGUUUAAUUGACUUUUUA